rnacentral:tRNA from 1 species
CUUCAGCGCAAUGGAUAGUGCGUUGGACUUCUAAUCCAAAGGUCGAGAGUUCGAAUCCCACCAGGAAGG